CUGUGAGAGGAAUGAUGUAUUAUUAUCGGGCACUUAAAAUGCUGGCCUUUCUAGAUUCUGCCUCAGAGAUGGACAUCAGGG